AUUGAACGCUGGCGGCAGGCCUAACACAUGCAAGUCGAACGAGUGGCGGACGGGUGAGUAAUGUCUGGGAAACUGCCUGAUGGAGGGGGAUAACUACUGGAAACGGUAGCUAAUACCGCAUACCAUCAGAUGUGCCCAGAUGGGAUUAGCUAGUAGGUGGGGUAACGGCUCACCGAGGCGACAAUCCCUAGCUGGUCUGAGAGGAUGACCAGCAACAAUGGAACUGAGACACGGUCCAGACUCCUACGGGAGGCAGCAGUGGGGAAUAUUGUACAAUGGGCGCAAUCCUGAUGCAGCCAUGCCGCGUGUGUGAAGAAGGCCUUCGGGUUGUAAAGCACUUUCAGCGGGGAGGCGUUACCCGCAGAAGAAGCACCGGCUAACUCCGUGCCAGCAGCCGCGGUAAUAC
rnacentral:rRNA from 1 species